CAAGCGCGGAUCCGGAGAAAAUAGUUAUUUAAUGUUUAACCUCAUCUAUACUUUAUAGACUUCCAGAUUUCAAAUGGUCCCGUUGGUAAUGCUAGGUUCUCAGUUUCAUGAUUUGCACUGCGGUUGAAAUCGUGGUUUUAUUGUGGUAAUCCUAUCAGGUCUUAUCAUAUAUUGAGAGCUGAAAUGAUGUUGAAACAUUUUGGAAGAUUUAUUCUUGUCAUAGUCUGUGUUCCAUUCUCUCUAGUACCAAUAACAGUAUCUUCACAACCUGACGCAGGAGCGAACGGGCGUAUUAAUGAUUUCCUCGACCACAUUACCAACUUUACAAUCAACAGACCAAAAUGAAAGUAACCAUGGAUCACCACGUCGUGACAUAAAUACUCAAGAUUGGUCUUUAAUUAUUGGCAGUGUUGUAGCAUCUCUGAUACUCAUUACAUUGGUAAUCGUUAUUGUUACAGAUCAGCAUUAAACG